UACAGAGGUCUCAAGCGUUGUUCGGAUUCAUUGGGCGUAAAGGGUGCGUAGGUGGCGCCGUAAGUCAGGUGUGAAAUUUCGGAGCUUAACUCCGAAACUGCAUUUGAUACUGCGGUGCUUGAGGACUGGAGAGGAGACUGGAAUUCACGGUGUAGCAGUGAAAUGCGUAGAUAUCGUGAGGAAGACCAGUGGCGAAGGCGGGUCUCCGGACAGUUCCUGACACUGAGGCACGAAGGCCAGGGAGCAAACAGG
rnacentral:rRNA from 1 species